rnacentral:rRNA from 1 species
AUUGAACGCUGGCGGCAUGCCUUACACAUGCAAGUCGAACGGCAGCACGGGAGCAAUCCUGGUGGCGAGUGGCGAACGGGUGAGUAAUAUAUCGGAACGUGCCCAGUCGUGGGGAUAACGUAGCGAAAGUUACGCUAAUACCGCAUACGAUCUACGGAUGAAAGCGGGGGAUCGCAAGACCUCGCGCGAUUGGAGCGGCCGAUAUCAGAUUAGGUAGUUGGUGAGGUAAAGGCUCACCAAGCCGACGAUCUGUAGCUGGUCUGAGAGGACGACCAGCCACACUGGGACUGAGACACGGCCCAGACUCCUACGGGAGGCAGCAGUGGGGAAUUUUGGACAAUGGGCGCAAGCCUGAUCCAGCAAUGCCGCGUGCAGGAUGAAGGCCUUCGG